GAUGUAGUGGCCGAGAUUUAGGUAUUAGACUGUAAAUCUAACCACAAGAGUAAUCUUCUUCAUCA
rnacentral:tRNA from 1 species